ensembl:misc_RNA Metazoa_SRP Metazoan signal recognition particle RNA
GCCAGGUGCAGUGGCAUGUGCCUGUACUCCCAGCUACUCAGGAGGCUAAGGCUGGAGGAUCGCUUGAGUCCAGGAGUUCUGGGCUGUAGUGCACUGUGCCUACUGGGUGUCCACACUAAAUUUGGCAUCAAUUUGGUGACCUCCCGGGAGCGGGGUGCCACCAGGUUGCCUAAGGAGGGCUGAACUGGCCCAGGUUGGAAACAGAGCAGGUCAAAACUCCUGUGCUGAUCAGUAGUGGGAUUGCGCCUGUGAAUAGCCACUGCACUCCAGCCUGGGCAACAUAGUAAGACCCUGUCUCU